CGAUACUGUGUUGCUUUGGCGGGCCGCUGGGCCCUGCCCGGCCGCCGGCCCCGGCUGGCGCGCGCCCGCCAGAGGCUCCGCAAACUCUGAAUGUCAGCGUCGUCUGAGCACUAUAUAAUAGUUAAAACUUUCAACAACGGAUCUCUUGGUUCUGGCAUCGAUGAAGAACGCAGCGAAAUGCGAUAAGUAAUGCGAAUUGCAGAAUUCAGUGAGUCAUCGAAUCUUUGAACGCACAUUGCGCCCUGUGGUAUUCCGCAGGGCAUGCCUGUUCGAGCGUCAUUUCAACCCUCAAGCUCUGCUUGGUGUUGGGCCCUGCCCGUCGCGGCCGGCCCCAAAGACAGUGGCGGCGCCGUCCGGCUCUGAGCGUAGUACACCUCUCGCUCCAGCGCCUGGCGGUGGCCUGCCAGAACCCCAACUCUGUGGUUGACCUCGGAUCAGGUAGGGAUACCCGCUGAACUUAAGCAUAUCAAUAA
rnacentral:rRNA from 1 species